UACGAAGGGGGCUAGCGUUGCUCGGAAUCACUGGGCGUAAAGCGCACGUAGGCGGAUUGCUAAGUCAGGGGUGAAAUCCUGGAGCUCAACUCCAGAACUGCCCUUGAUACUGGCGGUCUCGAGUCCGGGAGAGGUGAGUGGAACUGCGGAGUGUAGAGGUGAAAUUCGUAGAUAUUCGCAAGAACACCAGUGGCGAAGGCGGCUCACUGGCCCGGUACUGACGCUGAGGUGGCGAAAGCGUGGGGAGCCAAACAGG
rnacentral:rRNA from 1 species